rnacentral:lncRNA from 1 species
GACCCUGAACCACUUGUGAGGGGAGAAUAUAAUAUACUCUCGUGUAUAGCGUAUAUCAAAUUUAUAUAGAUAACUUUGUUCUCAUAAGCAAUAAUUUAGUUAUUAAAUGGAGGCAUUCAAUAAAUUAUUUUGCUAAACCAACUAUGAUGUAAACCAACUUAUCAAGAUGAACUAUAUUGAAUAGAAAAUCUGGAAAUUAUGCUCGAAAUUAGAUUACUGAGCAAUUUACCUCGCAAGCACCGGCCAGGCUGCAGGUUAAUAAUAAUCGCACAUGUAACUAUAUCAUAGAUGCAUCAUAUGUGGUAUACAUGGCACGCGAAUGGGCCCAUAUUCACCUUUGAUAUUUCCAGAAUUCAUGGGAUUCAACCCCAACUUUAGUUGGUUUAUUAAUUAAUGAGAACAAGACAAUAUAGGAGAAUCCGUAAAGAACUUUCUAGUUCUUUAGUAUUUACCCAUAUAGAUUCUCGUUUAUUUUGCACAUCAUACUUUAAUUAAUAUGACUAAACCA